AUAAGGGCGCACGGUGGAUGCCUUGGCACUAGAAGCCGAAGAAGGACGUGACAAACGACGAAAUGCUUUGGGGAGCUGUAAGUAAGCGACGAUCCAGAGAUGUCCGAAUGGGGGAACCCACUAGCUAAUGGCUAGUACUCCUAUCUGUUAAGGAUAGGUAGAGGAAGACGCAGUGAACUGAAACAUCUAAGUAGCUGCAGGAAGAGAAAGCAAAAGCGAUUGCCUGAGUAGCGGCGAGCGAAACGGCAGGAGGGCAAACCGAAGAGUUUACUCUUCGGGGUUGUAGGACUGCAAUGUGGACUUAAAGAUUAUAGAAGAAUGACAUGGGAAGGUCAGCCAAAGAGAGUAAGAGCCUCGUAUUCGAAAUAGUCUUUAUACCUAGCAGUAUCCUGAGUACGGCGGGACACGAGAAAUCCCGUCGGAAUCUGGGAGGACCAUCUCCCAACCCUAAAUACUCUCUAGUGACCGAUAGUGAACCAGUACCGUGAGGGAAAGGUGAAAAGCACCCCGGGAGGGGAGUGAAAUAGAACCUGAAACCGUGUGCCUACAACAAGUUCGAGCCCGUUAAUGGGUGAGAGCGUGCCUUUUGUAGAAUGAACCGGCGAGUUACGAUAUGAUGCGAGGUUAAGUUGAAGAGACGGAGCCGUAGGGAAACCGAGUCUGAAUAGGGCGGAUUAGUAUUAUGUCGUAGACCCGAAACCAUGUGACCUACCCAUGAGCAGGUUGAAGGUGAGGUAAAACUCACUGGAGGACCGAACCAGGGCACGUUGAAAAGUGCUUGGAUGACUUGUGGGUAGCGGAGAAAUUCCAAACGAACUUGGAGAUAGCUGGUUCUCUCCGAAAUAGCUUUAGGGCUAGCGUCGACAUUAAGAUUCUUGGAGGUAGAGCACUGUUUGGGUGAGGGGUCCAUCCCGGAUUACCAAUCUCAGAUAAACUCCGAAUGCCAAUGAAUUAUGGUCGGCAGUCAGACUGCGAGUGCUAAGAUCCGUAGUCGAAAGGGAAACAGCCCAGACCACCAGCUAAGGUCCCAAAAUAAUUGUUAAGUGGAAAAGGAUGUGGGGUUGCACAGACAACUAGGAUGUUAGCUUAGAAGCAGCUAUUCAUUCAAAGAGUGCGUAAUAGCUCACUAGUCGAGUGACCCUGCGCCGAAAAUGUACCGGGGCUAAAACAAUUUACCGAAGCUGUGGAUACCUUUAUAGGUAUGGUAGGAGAGCGUUCUAUGUGUGGAGAAGGUGUACCGUGAGGAGCGCUGGAACGCAUAGAAGUGAGAAUGCCGGUAUGAGUAGCGAAAGACAGGUGAGAAUCCUGUCCACCGUAAGACUAAGGUUUCCAGGGGAAGGCUCGUCCGCCCUGGGUUAGUCGGGACCUAAGGAGAGACCGAAAGGUGUAUCCGAUGGACAACAGGUUGAUAUUCCUGUACUAGAGUAUGUAGUGAAGGAGGGACGCAGUAGGCUAACUAAAGCGUGCGACUGGAAGUGCACGUCUAAGCAGUGAGGUGUGAAUUGAGUUAAAUGCUUAAUUCUAUAACAUUGAGCUGUGAUGGGGAGCGAAGUUUAGUAGCGAAGUUAGUGACGUCACACUGCCAAGAAAAGCUUCUAGCGUUAAUCAUACUCUACCCGUACCGCAAACCGACACAGGUAGUCGAGGCGAGUAGCCUCAGGUGAGCGAGAGAACUCUCGUUAAGGAACUCGGCAAAAUGACCCCGUAACUUCGGGAGAAGGGGUG
rnacentral:rRNA from 1 species